CACCAGCUGCUUCAACCACCACAGGUGCUUCAACCACAACAGCUGCUUCAACUGCAACAGCUGCUUCAACCACAACAGCUGCUUCAACCACAACAGUAACUCCAUCCACAACAGCUGCUUCAACCACAACAGCAGCUUCAACCACAACAGCAGUUUCAACCACAACUACUACUGCUCCAACUUCAACCACAACCAGAGCAGCUCCAACUACAACCACAGCAGCCCCAUUUGUACCAAGUACAUCUACAACUGAGCCUCCUGCUCCGGUGUAUGCUCUUGUAGCAACCAUCAUUGAACCAUUUGAUGAACAACUCACUAACAAAUCCAGCAAAUUGUUUGUAGAUCUUGAGAAAAGAGUCACAGCAACAUAUGACAUAAUCUACAAAAAGAAGUUUGGAAUCCUCUUCAUUCGUAGUUUUGUUAUUGCAUUUAGAGCUUCCACACGAUUUGCACAACGAAUGAAUAAUACUGAAGCAGAAGUGGGGUUGGAGUUAAUAAAACUACAUCUUCUGAAAAUCUCCCAAAGAAUGAAGUUGUUCAAGCAACCUUACUCGAGGCGAUAAACAGCACCACUUUCAACGUUACAUUCAUUCCUGGCACCGUUACUCUAACACGCACACCUUUGGCAACCUCUGCUCCCACGACAGAUACUACAAAUACUACAACAACUCCACCAACCACCAUCACAACUGCUACUACAACUCCACCAACCACCACAAUAACCACAACAGCAACUACAACUGUGGAGUCAACUGUGAAACGGCGACUGACUUUUAGAUCUGGGAGAGAUAUUCACCACCGAGUUGCUGGACACAUCAUCUACAGCUUUCAGAAAUCGAGCUGCACUUUUGAAGACCAAUCUUGAACCACUCUACCAGGCAGCGUUCUCUUCUUACCGCAGUUUCAAUGUGAUUUCAUUCAGCAAUGGAUCAAUCAUCAACAACAUUGACAUUGAAUUUUUAACACUAUCUCAACCUACUAGCGCCCAAAUCACAAAUGUUUUGGUGAAAGCAAAUUCAACCGUCACAGCUUUCAACAUUGACAUCAAUUCAAUUUUUGUGGAUGGCGCACAAACGUCGAACGGAGCAAGCCAUGCCAUCAGCCUCAUCACUGCAUUCAGCAUGGUCCUGCUGUCUUGGCUUCUUUCAACUCAGCAGUAACGUCUCUGCUGUCUUCCACAGGAAAAUCUGCAUGAAAAUGUCAAUUAUUGCUUGUGUGAACAAGAAUGUUGUUCUAAUUCAAGACCAAGAUUCACUUAGAAUUUCAAAGCAUUUAUUGAAACAUAAUAAUUUCCUCUUGUCAAUGUUUUAUUUAUUUAUACAAAACUAAUUAUUCUGUGUCAUUGAUUUAAUUUAUUAUCUUUAAAAUUAAACAUGAAUGUAUUUCUUCAAGGAUUAUUUGGUUCUCUCUCAAUAAAUAUUGUAGGAUUUACCAAAAACUAUGCUGUCUGAGCAACGUGCUGUAUGAUUGUCCAGUUUUUCUUUUCCUUUUAAUUGUAUUUCUUACAGAAAGUAUUCUGUAAAGCAUAUAGCUGUCAGUUUAACAAAAAAUAAUGACUAGAUUUUUGGUCCUCCAUACAGUCAUCAUAUAUGUUUAUGACAUAAUGUAGAGCUGUGAAUUGACAUCAAUUAAAAAGGUUCAAAUUGAAUAAUAAUG